GCCAAAAAUCUAGCCCACUAUAAUUAUGUCUUCUUCAUGACUAAACAAAAUAUUUUAUUAUUAAAGUAAAGACGAUUGAAAUUUUAAUAAGAGCUAUAUCAAUGUACCGUAAGGGAAAAAUGAAAUAAAAUGAAAAAAUCAAGCACAAAAAAGUAAAGCUUAAAACUUGUACCUUUCGCAUCAUGGUUUAACUAGUUCAACUAAGCAAAAAGAAUUUUAGUUUAACUCCCCGAAACCAAGUGAGCUACCCCAGGACAGCUAAACGAGCAAACCCAUCCCUGUUGCAAAAGGGUGGGAAGAUCCUGUAGUAGCGGUGACAGACCCAACGAACUUGGUGAUAGCUGGUUACUCAAAAAAAGAAUUUUAGUCCAGCCUAAAGAUUUUUUCCCAUAGCAUUAAUUUAAACUUUAGAGUAAUUCAAAUAAGGUACAGCCUAUUUGAAACAGGACACAACCUCCAACAGCGGGUAAUUAUAAUUUAUUAAACCAAGUAGGCCUAAAAGCAGCCACCUUAAAAGAGCGUCAAAGCCUGAUUCCCCCCCUUCUUCUAAUGCCUUCGCUAAUCCAGAACCCCUCACCCAUACUGAGUACUUCUAUAUUAUUAUAGAAACUUUUAUGUUAAAACUAGUAACAAGAAAACCUUCUCUUAAAUGUGAGUGUAAAUCAGAAUGGACCUCCCACUGAUAUUUAUUCAACAACUAGCAGCACCUCUUCCCAGUAAACCCUGCUUUUUUAACUGUUAACCUAACACCAGAACAUUUCAAGAAAGAUUAAACGAAAAAGAAGGAACUCGGCAAAUACUUAUCCCGCCUGUUUACCAAAAACAUCGCCUCUUGUCUUAAAUAAGAGGUCUAGCCUGCCCAGUGACUCUAGUUCAACGGCCGCGGUAUACUGACCGUGCAAAGGUAGCGUAAUCACUUGUUUUUUAAAUGAAGACUAGUAUGAAAGGCACCACGAGGAUCAAACUGUCUCCUUUUUCUAAUCUGUGAAACUAAUCUUCCCGUGAAAAAACGGGAAUCUUGAUAUAAGACGAGAAGACCCUAUGGAGCUUCAAACUAUAGUAACUGCUUUAUAAUAUUUUGUACAUCUUUACUGUACGUUUUGGGUUGGGGUGACCGCGGARUAAAACUUAUCCUCCAUGCUGAAAAGAGACCUCCUUUAAACAAAGAGCUUCAACUCGAUGCAUCAACAAAUUGACAGCAAUUGACCCAUUUUUGAUCAACGAAACAAGUUACCCUAGGGAUAACAGCGCAAUCCACUUUGAAAGCCCCUAUCGACAAGUGGGUUUACGACCUCGAUGUUGGAUCAGGAUAUCCAAGUGGUGCAGCCGCUACUAAAGGUUCGUUUGUUCAACGAUUUAAAUCCUACGUGAUCUGAGU
rnacentral:rRNA from 1 species